rnacentral:rRNA from 1 species
AGAGCAAGCGGACCUCAUAAAGUGCGUCGUAGUCCGGAUUGGAGUCUGCAACUCGACUCCAUGAAGUCGGAAUCGCUAGUAAUCGUAGAUCAGAAYGCUACGGUGAAUACGUUCCCGGGCCUUGUACACACCGCCCGUCACACCAUGGGAGUGGGUUGCAAAAGAAGUAGGUAGCUUAACCUUCGGGAGGGCGCUUACCACUUUGUGAUUCAUGACUGGGGUGAAGUCGUAACAAGGUAACCGUAGGGGAACCUGCGGUUGGAUCACCUCCUUA